rfam:Felis catus isolate Cinnamon breed Abyssinian chromosome D2, whole genome shotgun sequence.
ACCUCGGUGGCUCAGUCAGUUGAGUGCCCGACUUCUGUUCAGGUUAGUAUUUCACUGUUCGUGGGUUCGAGUCCCACGUGGGGCU